UAAUAUUUGAUUCUCUACUUGAUCUAGAGAAAAGAUUUAAAUCACCACAGAGGUAAAGUGAAGGCUGAUAAAGAAUAGAAUGCGUUGUUAUCACGCGUGUAUAAGCAAUUAUUGAAAGAAAAACGAAGUGGUCUAUUUCAUAACGAACAGGUAUUUUGUCUUUCUUAUGUUAAGUUGCGUGUUGUUCAGUGCUCAGAACGUGU